GAUGAACGCUGGCGGCGUGCCUAAUACAUGCAAGUCGAGCGAACGGACGAGAAGCUUGCUUUUCUGAUGUUAGCGGCGGACGGGUGAGUAACACGUGGAUAACCUACCUAUAAGACUGGGAUAACUUCGGGAAACCGGAGCUAAUACCGGAUAAUAUUUUGAACCGCAUGGUUCAAAAGUGAAAGUCGGUCUUGCUGUCACUUUUAGAUGGAUCCGCGCUGCAUUAGCUAGUUGGUAAGGUAACGGCUUACCAAGGCAACGAUGCAUAGCCGACCUGAGAGGGUGAUCGGCCACACUGGAACUGAGACACGGUCCAGACUCCUACGGGAGGCAGCAGUAGGGAAUCUUCCGCAAUGGGCGAAAGCCUGACGGAGCAACGCCGCGUGAGUGAUGAAGGUCUUCGGAUCGUAAAACUCUGUUAUUAGGGAAGAACAUAUGUGUAAGUAACUGUGCACAUCUUGACGGUACCUAAUCAGAAAGCCACGGCUAACUACGUG
rnacentral:rRNA from 1 species